rnacentral:rRNA from 3 species
CCGUUCCCAUCCCGAACACGGAAGUUAAGCCCUCCAGCGCCGAUGGUACUUGGGGAUGACCCCUGGGAGAGUAGGUCGUUGCCAGGC